CCUACGGGGUGCAGCAGUGGGGAAUAUUGGACAAUGGGCGAAAGCCUGAUCCAGCCAUGCCGCGUGUGUGAAGAAGGCCUUCGGGUUGUAAAGCACUUUCAGUGGGGAAGAAAGCCUUGGGGCUAAUACCCUCGAGGAAGGACAUCACCCACAGAAGAAGCACCGGCUAACUCCGUGCCAGCAGCCGCGGUAAUACGGGGGUGCGAGCGUUAAUCGGAAUUACUGGGCGUAAAGCGCGCGUAGGCGGUCUGAUAAGCCGGUUGUGAAAGCCCCGGGCUCAACCUGGGAACGGCAUCCGGAACUGUCAGGCUAGAGUGCAGGAGAGGAAGGUAGAAUUCCCGGUGUAGCGGUGAAAUGCGUAGAGAUCGGGAGGAAUACCAGUGGCGAAGGCGGCCUUCUGGACUGACACUGACGCUGAGGUGCGAAAGCGUGGGUAGCAAACAGGAUUAGAUACCCCGGUAGUC
rnacentral:rRNA from 1 species